rnacentral:rRNA from 1 species
ACUCCUACGGGAGGCAGCAGUGGGGAAUAUUGGACAAUGGGCGAAAGCCUGAUCCAGCAAUGCCGCGUGAGUGAUGAAGGCCUUAGGGUUGUAAAGCUCUUUUACCCGGGAUGAUAAUGACAGUACCGGGAGAAUAAGCUCCGGCUAACUCCGUGCCAGCAGCCGCGGUAAUACGGAGGGAGCUAGCGUUGUUCGGAAUUACUGGGCGUAAAGCGCACGUAGGCGGCUUUGUAAGUUAGAGGUGAAAGCCUGGAGCUCAACUCCAGAAUUGCCUUUAAGACUGCAUCGCUUGAAUCCAGGAGAGGUGAGUGGAAUUCCGAGKGUAGAGGKGAAAUUCGUAGAUAUUCGGAAGAACACCAGUGGCGAAGGCGGCUCACUGGACUGGUAUUGACGCUGUGGUGSGAAAGCGUGGGGAGCAGACAGGAUUAGAUACCCUGGUAGUCCACGCCGUAAACGAUGAUAACUAGCUGUCCGGGGACUUGGUCUUUGGGKGGCGCAGCUAACGCAUUAAGUUAUCCGCCUGGGGAGUACGGCCGCAAGGUUAAAACUCAAAUGAAUUGACGG